CCUACGGGGGGCAGCAGUGAGGAAUAUUGGUCAAUGGGCGAGAGCCUGAACCAGCCAAGUAGCGUGAAGGAUGACUGCCCUAUGGGUUGUAAACUUCUUUUAUAUAAGAAUAAAGUGCAGUAUGUAUACUGUUUUGUAUGUAUUAUAUGAAUAAGGAUCGGCUAACUCCGUGCCAGCAGCCGCGGUAAUACGGAGGAUCCGAGCGUUAUCCGGAUUUAUUGGGUUUAAAGGGAGCGUAGAUGGAUGUUUAAGUCAGUUGUGAAAGUUUGCGGCUCAACCGUAAAAUUGCAGUUGAUACUGGAUAUCUUGAGUGCAGUUGAGGCAGGCGGAAUUCGUGGUGUAGCGGUGAAAUGCUUAGAUAUCACGAAGAACUCCGAUUGCGAAGGCAGCCUGCUAAGCUGCAACUGACAUUGAGGCUCGAAAG
rnacentral:rRNA from 1 species